GGGGAAAGUUCCGGCGGUAGAGGAUGGGCAUGCGGCGCAUUANCUGGUUGGCGGGGUAACGGCCCACCAAGGCGACGAUGCGUAGGGGUUCUGAGAGGAAGGUCCCCCACACUGGUACUGAGACACGGACCAGACUCCUACGGGAGGCAGCAGUGAGGAAUAUUGGUCAAUGGGCGCGAGCCUGAACCAGCCAAGUCGCGUGAGGGANGACGGUCCUACGGAUUGUAAACCUCUUUAGGCGGGGAGUAAUGUGCUCUACGAGUAGAGUAGUGAGAGUACCCGCAGAAUAAGCAUCGGCUAACUCCGUGCCAGCAGCCGCGGUAAUACGGAGGAUGCGAGCGUUAUCCGGAUUUAUUGGGUUUAAAGGGUGCGCAGGCUGUGCAUCAAGUCAGCGGUAAAAUCUCGGGGCUCAACCCCGUUUAGCCGUUGAAACUGGUGUGCUGGAGUGUGCGCGAGGAAGGCGGAAUGCGCGGUGUAGCGGUGAAAUGCAUAGAUAUUGCGCAGAACUCCGAUUGCGAAGGCAGCCUUCCAGUGCAUGACUGACGCUGAGGCACGAAAGCGUGGGUAUCGAACAGGAUUAGAUACCCUGGUAGUCCACGCAGUAAACGAUGAAUACUAUCUUUCCGUCGCGNCUGAGCGGGGGGAGGACAAGCGAAAGCGUUAAGUAUUCCACCUGGGGAGUACGCCGGCAACGGUGAAACUCAAAGGAAUUGACGGGGGCCCGCACAAGCGGAGGAACAUGUGGUUUAAUUCGAUGAUACGCGAGGAACCUUACCCGGGCUCAAACGCUGAUAGAUCGGUGUGGAAACACGCCUUCCCUUCGGGGCUGUCAGCGAGGUGCUGCAUGGUUGUCGUCAGCUCGUGCCGUGAGGUGUCGGCUUAAGUGCCAUAACGAGCGCAACCCCCAUCUCCAGUUGCCAUCGGUUAAAGCCGGGCACUCUGGAGAGACUGCCGGCGCAAGCCGUGAGGAGGGCGGGGAUGACGUCAAAUCAGCACGGCCCUUACGUCCGGGGCGACACACGUGUUACAAUGGCGGAGUUACAGCGGGAAGCCAGGCGGCGACGUCGAGCUGAUCCCGAAAAUCCGUCUCAGUUCGGAUCGNAGUCUGCAACCCGACUCC
rnacentral:rRNA from 1 species